GACGAACGCUGGCGGCGUGCUUAACACAUGCAAGUCGAACGGAAAGGCCCUGCUUUUGUGGGGUGCUCGAGUGGCGAACGGGUGAGUAACACGUGAGUAACCUGCCCUUGACUUUGGGAUAACUUCAGGAAACUGGGGCUAAUACCGGAUAGGAGCUCCUGCUGCAUGGUGGGGGGUGGAAAGUUUCGGCGGUUGGGGAUGGACUCGCGGCUUAUCAGCUUGUUGGUGGGGUAGUGGCUUACCAAGGCUUUGACGGGUAGCCCGCCUGAGAGGGUGACCGGCCACAUUGGUACUGCGAUACGGCCCAGACUCCUACGUGAGGCAGCAGUGGGGAAUAUUGCACAAUGGUCGGAAGCCUGAUGCAGCAACGCCGCGUUCGGGAUGACGGCCUUCGGGUUGUAAACCGCUUUCGCCUGUGACGAAGCGUGAGUGACGGUAAUGGGUAAAGAAGCACCGGCUAACUACGUG
rnacentral:rRNA from 1 species